rnacentral:rRNA from 1 species
GUAGGUGGCAAGCGUUGUCCGGAAUUAUUGGGCGUAAAGCGCGCGCAGGCGGUUCUUUAAGUCUGAUGUGAAAGCCCACGGCUCAACCGUGGGGGGUCAUUGGAAACUGGAGAACUUGAGUACAGAAGAGGAAAGCGGAAUUCCACGUGUAGCGGUGAAAUGCGUAGAGAUGUGGAGGAACACCAGUGGCGAAGGCGGCCUUCUGGUCUGUAACUGACGCUGAGGCGCGAAAGCGUGGGGAGCAAACAGGGAUUAGAUACCCUGGUAGUCCACGCCGUAAACGAUGAGUGCUAAGUGUUAGGGGGUUUCCGCCCCCUUAGUGCUGCAGCUAACGCAUUAAGCACUCCGCCUGGGGAUACGGCCGCAAGGCUG